rnacentral:tRNA from 1 species
CGGGGUGUGGCGCAGCUUGGUUAGCGCGCGUGCUUCGGGAGCACGAGGUCGUUGGUUCAAAUCCAACCACCCCGA